rnacentral:rRNA from 1 species
UACAGAGGUCCCGAGCGUUGUUCGGAUUCACUGGGCGUAAAGGGUGCGUAGGUGGCGAGGUAAGUCGGAUGUGAAAGCUCGGAGCUCAACUCCGAAAUGGCAUUGGAAACUACCUCGCUCGAGGGUUGGAGGGGGGACUGGAAUACUUGGUGUAGCAGUGAAAUGCGUAGAUAUCAAGUGGAACACCAGUGGCGAAGGCGGCGACCUGGACAGAUACUGACACUCAACUGCGAAAGCGUGGGGAGCAAACAGG